GGAGGAUCAUUAUCGUAGGGCUUCGGCCCUGUCGAGAUAGAACCCUUGCCUUUUUGAGUACCUUUCGUUUCCUCGGCAGCUUCGGCUGCCAAUGGGGACCCCAAAAAACACUUUGCAGUACCUGUAACAGUCUGAACAAACAAAACAAAAAUUAAAACUUUCAACAACGGAUCUCUUGGUUCUGGCAUCGAUGAAGAACGCAGCGAAAUGCGAUAAGUAGUGUGAAUUGCAGAAUUCAGUGAAUCAUCGAAUCUUUGAACGCACAUUGCGCCCUUUGGUAUUCCUUAGGGCAUGCCUGUUCGAGCGUCAUUUAAACCUUCAAGCUAAGCUUGGUGUUGGGUGACUGUCCGCUUCACUGCGGACUCGCCUCAAAAUUAUUGGCGGCCGGUACAUUGGCUUCGAGCGCAGCAGAAACGCGAACUCGGGCCCGUCGUAUUGGCUCCCAGAAGCUAUCUUCACAAUUUUGACCUCGGAUCAGGUAGGGAUACCCGCUGAACUUAAGCAUAUCAAUAAGCGGAGGA
rnacentral:rRNA from 1 species